rnacentral:rRNA from 1 species
UACAGAGGUCUCAAGCGUUUGUUCGGAUUCAUUGGGCGUAAAGGGUGCGUAGGUGGCGCCGUAAGUCAGGUGUGAAAUUUCGGAGCUUAACUCCGAAACUGCAUUUGAUACUGCGGUGCUUGAGGACUGGAGAGGAGACUGGAAUUUACGGUGUAGCAGUGAAAUGCGUAGAGAUCGUGAAGGAAGACCAGGUUGGCGAAGGCGGGUCUCUGGA